GCUGUUCGCCUGUGUGCGUAUCCUCUCACCUGCUGCUGCAUGCUGCAAAAGUCUUAAAACUGGCAUCUCUGCUCUCGAGUGUUUCAUCAACCGUCGCGCAGAUACGAUGUCCUAAGACACAAACGACGCGAGUAACAAACGGUUGGGCACUCAACGGCGUAGUUAGACGUUAGUCAGUCGAGAAAGUGAUCUACGAGCCUUCGCGAUGAAAUGGCGCGUUCCGCGUACGAGAUCGUGAAUUAACAAAGGUUCGUGCACUUGAGUCGUGCAAUACGUAAACCACGCGUAUUAUUAAGUGCAUAUGUGUAUUUAUAUUUAGUGGAACUUUAUUAUUUUACCUAAAUAUAUAUUUUAUUCGUAUAUACUCGCUAAUAAACUGUGAGUGUUACUUACCUGUCCUGGACGAUCCUAUCGUUGAUCUGAAAAGAAAGGAAUAGGGACUAAAUCGGAAAGGAAGGAUGGACGAUGGUGCUCAGCCGUUCCAAAACAAGGCACCUGGCGACCGUGAUACCUAAAAAAAUUUCCCUCAAACUCCAACGUAAGGCAGCAGUGGAUAAAUGCAAUAUACAAGUUAAAUCAUCAAGAACUUGCUCCACAGUUGCCAAAAUAUGCAAAAAUUUGUCUUCGACAUUUCGACAGUGCUUCUAUAGAACAAUUCGGUUUUACUCAAAUACGAUUAAAACCGAAUUCUGUGCCGUCAAUAUUUCCAAAUACAUCGGAUAAAGAAAGAUAUAUGUAACUAAAAUACAGAUUGAGUGGAAAUGGUACUUAUUAAGACAGAUAUAUGUAUGGCUGUAUGGAGCGGACACGGAUGUCGAUGUUAAGGCUUACCAAAAAACUUACAUUAUACUCGCAAAAAAGAAGAAGAAAUAGUGACGGUCGUCGUUAAGUGGUGAUUAGCAGUCAGAUAGUGAGACUACAGGUUCGACCAUCACUUUACAAUAUAAAGAAGCAACUGAAAAGGGCUGAGAUUCAAAACGAAAAUCAACGCAACGAUAUUCGAUCAUGUGACGCCAUUCAAACACAUAUAUUAUCGACAAAUGGGUCUCCGAAAUUAAACGCUUGUUGUAAGAUCUCUCAUUAUCCAAAAUUUUUACAUGAUCCCAAUCAAAAUCGUGAGAGAAAUGGAUUUUGUGGUCCGUGAUCACAGAUCUCUGAGACGAAUUUCUGUUGAUAUGAUACUUAUGUUCUUUUAUUCUAAUUUGUAGCAUUCUGCCCGUCUGACCGACAUAAGAAGCGUCGCAAUCGCGGCAGUUAAUUUAAUAUACAACAGAAGGACGUGAGGAAUAGGGUAGAGGAUCUUUAAGAACGUUAAUAAAUUUUGACAAUUUGUCAGUACAAUAAAAAGCUGAACGUGUGUUAGAGUCUUUAGGAAAUGCUGUUAAAUAUUUAUCUGAGAAAUUAUUAAUAUAAGGUAUCACAAACCAGUGAGGCUGUGCACUGUUCUCCGUAUCGUCCAGAAGGAACUUCUUAGAGUUGUUAUUUAUAAAAAAAUUGCGUUUUAGUCGUUGUUUAAAAGUGUUGUAAAUAAAGUCAAAUGGAUAGUUAUUGUCAAUUAAAAUGUUAAAAACGAUGUCAAAAUUUUUUGAGUGAAAAGUCGAGUGUGAUAAAAAGAAAACUCUGUCAACGAGACUUAUGACCGUGCCUCUUUUUUGGCUGAUAGGGUGAUUUGAAAAAUAAUUUAGAUAUCUGCCUGAAAAUGUAGGCUUGUGAUACCAAUCAUGAAUUAGUUAUUAGUUUAUUAUCUUUCUUUAUGGUAGUGAUGUCUAAAAAGUUCAGCCUGUCAAGACCAACUUCUAUGGUAAAUUGCAGUCGAGAGUGGUAUGAAUUGUAAUAUGUAAGAACUACGUCAAAUUGAUCCUUCGGAACCAUGAGAGCUAUAUCAUCAACGUAUCUAAUGUGUAAAGGUGGAGUAAAAGGUAGCAUGUUGAUAAUGGACGAUUCUUGCAUAACAAUGUCUGCUAGGAUGGGAGAGAGAGGAGAGCCCAUAGGUGCACCAAAGGCAAGCUAGUGUUAUUGCUUAUCAAAUGCCAUCGUUUCUCUAAACCUUUGAUUGCAAGAUCUAGUGGAAUGUUGGUGAACAGAGAUAUAAAAUCAAGCGAGAUUAACUCAAAAGAUUCAUCAAAGGUCACUUGGGAGAUUCGAUUGGCAAGGUGAAAACUAUUGUAAACAAAACUCGAAGAAGGAACAAUGCUUUUUGAAAUAAUUUUAUGCAAUAAUAUUGCUAAAUUAUGUAGCGGGCUAUUAACAGAAGAGAUAAUAAUUCUGAGAGGAUUGCCUGGUUUGUGGAUCUUAGGGACACCAUAGGCUCUAGAAAGGAUGGUGAUGGAAGUGUUCAGAUUUUUGUAAGUGAGUUCGAGAUAUGAUCGCGAGACUUCCAUCUAUUUAAAAUGUUCUUGAGAGAUCUUACAGAAUUAAUAGGAUUGUUUUUGACUGGUGCGUAUGUAUUGAUGUCCGAUAAUGUGUUUUCCAUUUGCUGCGUGUAUAAAUCUCUAUCCAUCGCAACAACCACAUUGCCCUUAUCUGCUUUUGUGAAAACAGUAGAAGGAUGAUUUUUUAUAAAUUGUAAAGUAGAUUUAAGAGCUAGUUUUACUUCUUUAUCAUGGUGAUUUAAUAAAUUUAGUGGUUUUCAUCUGGUGUAAGAUAGAGACAAACCGACUACGACAUUCAGUUUUUUUAUUAUCAUGAAGAUGUUUGAUGUUCUCAAAAUUUUUAAUAAAUUCAAUAAUUAAUUUAGAAUUGUUUUCCGGCUGUAAACUAAAAUUUGGCCUAGUUGUAAAAGGCCAGUGACUUCAUCAGGAAUGUGGAUCAAAGGAAAACUGAUAUUGAGAGUGAGUGAAAAAACUGUUUGAACGUGGAGUAGAAUGUUUUUGAGGUGGAAUGUUACGAGGAGUAACAAAAUAUCUAAGUCUUUUAUGAGAAAUCUUCAUGAUCGAUCUAUCUCUAAGCCAUAAAAGUUUAUUAGUCAUCCUUCUACGUUCAUAUGAAUGAAAUUUAUUCAGUUUUUUUAAUUGCGUGAUAAAAAAUACAUUAUAUACUCGAAAUGGUAAAGUUCUUAUAAUUGUAUUAUUGAUUUUAUUGAUUUUACUAAUGGUGAGUUUGCGGUAUUUAUGAAGGUCGAUUAUUUCAAGUCGCAAUAUGUCGCUCGCUUGUUGUCAAAAACACAUCUCUGUUUAUGAUUGUGAAAGAUGACUUGCGGGAAGCAACAAGAACGGUAAUUUAAAUGUUGUGGUAACAGAUCUUCAUUUUUGCAAGAAGAAAGAAACUUAAUUCGAUUGUGUAUUUUGACAAGGAUUCUGUUAAGUUUAAUCCAACUUUUUAAAUUAUUAACUAUAGAUGUUCCAAAAUGUAUAUGUAUGGACUUAAAGGUCCAGUGAUGGAAAUUUCGCAUUCUUCCGCCAACGAUAAUUGAUAAAUAAUAAAGUUUGAAAUAAUCAGCUCCAGAAAUUCUUAUUAAGACAGAUAUAUGUAUGGCUGUAUGGAGCGGACACAGAUGUCGAUGUUGCGGAUAAAGAAUCUUCUUCAAAGGUAGCUCGUAUCAAGAUGGAAUCAAUUAUG